CCGGAGGCAUUCGGAGUUUCGGACGUGCGGACGUUCGGACGUUCGGACGCAAAUAGUUUUCCUUUUGCGAACGCAACUUAUAGAGCGAAAAAGGUCGACACGAUGGCUGUCUGUACUCGUUUGCGUUGAUCACCGCUGAUUGUUCAGGUCGGUAAAGAACGCGGCAUACAUACGUCCUGACAGAUUAGAGAAAUUGUGUGUCGUCAACCCUACUGAUACGUGCGGUCUCUCACUGCCCGAACUUUUCGCGCAUUAAAUCGCAAACGACCAAGACCGCAGAAAAUAAAUCUCGUAUUAGCGAGGAGAAGGAGGUGACAUGGACGUCGACAUAUCCACGGAUAACAAUACAAAUGAAAAUACAGCGAUGGAGAUCGACGAGGACAGCUCCGAGAAGAAUACGAAGAUGUCCGGAAGCACCAUCAAGGUCAUGGCAUCUUCGGGUACCAUCGGUUCCGUAUCUGUCAGCUUGCAUCCGCUGGUGAUCAUGAACAUCAGCGAGCAUUGGACCAGGCUCAGAGCUCAGGAAGGCAGUGAUCAAUUGGUGUAUGGUGCUUUGAUCGGCAAACAGAAGGGUCGUAACAUAGAAAUUAUGAACUCGUUUGAAUUGCUGUUUACCUGUAUCAGUGAUGAUGUCAUAAUCGAUAGAGAUUAUUAUAAUAUAAAGGAGGAGCAAUUCAAAUUAGUUUUUAGUGAAAUGGACUUUCUGGGUUGGUACACCACUGGUGAUAUGCCUAAUGAGAGAGACAUAAGAGUGCACAAGCAGCUCUGUGAGAUAAAUGAAAGUCCUGUAUUGUUAAAAUUAGAUCCAAGACCAAAAAAUACAGAGCAUCUAUCCGUUUCCAUGUACGAAUCAGUGAUUGAUUUAGUUAACGGCGAAGCCACCAUGUUAUUUGUUCCAUUAACUUAUACAUUAGCGACGGAAGAAGCUGAGAGGAUUGGUGUUGAUCAUGUACAAAGAAUGUGUAAUAACGAUCAAGGCGAAUGCUCAGUAGUGGCUGAACACUUAACAGCGCAACACAGUGCCAUUAAAAUGUUGCACGCGAGAGUAAAGCUCGUCCUAAGAUACGUACAGGCUGUACAAAAUGGAGAAUUGAAAGGAAAUCACGAGGUUCUUCGAGCGGCUUGUUCUUUAAGCCAUCGACUGCCUGUUUUAAACAAUCCAAAGUUUAAAGCUGACUUUUAUAAUCAAUGCAACGACUUUGGUUUGCUGACAUAUCUCGGUAUCAUAACUAAAGGAUGUAAUAAUAUAAAUCAAUUUGUCAACAAAUUCAACAUUCUGUACGAUAGACAAGGCGUGGGCCGACGUCUACGAAGUCUCUUCUUCUGAUGUGUAAAUGGAAUCUGUUGUUUUUAUACGCAUCUUUUUUUACGUUUUAGAUAUAAGGCUGCAUCGAUGUACUAGGUUGCCAAUAGGCCGUCUUCGAUCAUAGUAGCCAGCACGUCUACCAGGACAGACAGUAUUAUAUUGGGCUAAGGACUCGGUUUGUCCAUACCGAUAAUUUCCUCGAACAGGCUAUUCUUGCCCUCCACCUGUUCCUCAAUAAUUUGUACAGCGUAUUUCAACGUCGCAGCGGCCAAAUCACCAACUGACCAACGUCUAUCAAUCAGAACUCUGCUCACAGUGUCCAACUGAAAAAUCAAUUCAAAUGCAGUGAGCAUUUUUCAUGCUUAAACAGCAAUAUGCGAACUAAUGGUAAAUUAUCACUUUAUGUAAAAAAAUCUAAAUAGACCUGAUGAAUAAAAACAAACUGAACUAUUUA